rnacentral:lncRNA from 1 species
CAUCCCCACUGAGUGCUCUUUAUACGCCCUCUGCGAGUCAGACUCUCCCUUGGACUGCUCUCUCUGCUCCUCACACACCUAAGUCUAUCUCCAAUGUCCCUGUCUCUUGGUGAAAGAAAAUGGCGUUCCAGCUUACCUUUGAGGUUGAUUCACUGCAUUGCUUUUAAUGAGGUGGUACCAGUGAAUGGGUCUAGCCCAUAGUAGGUACUCAAUAAAUGAUGAAUGAAACAUUUUAAUGCUAGAAUUAAUUAUAAUCCUGUCCAUAGAUGUAUAAACACUAAAAAAUAAAUGUAUGAUGUACUGAUUGCACUAAUUCCUCAGAUUUAUUAUAGGCUGAUUCCAAUUAAGCAAGUCAAUGAAGACAAAUGUAACACUACUUUCCCUCUAGAAUAAAGCAGAUUGAUACAUUAUAGUUCUUGGACAACAUGCAAGACCAUGAGGGACUAUCAGCAGAGAUUGUUCAGUUUAACAAUGCCAGCUUUCUGGGAGCUGAUAGAUGCCUCACAUAGAAAUGAAUUUACUGCGCUGCUUUUAGCUGAAUGUGUUUCCUGAGGCCUGUUUUCCCUGCUGUGGAAAUACUGCACUCGGCUGAUACAAAGACCUUCUCAUCGGAUAUGCCGUGUAGUUACUGAUAACACCAGUUGUAUGAACAACCUGAAUGUUUGAACUGGCCUGAUAAUCACCACACUUCAGUAUCCUUGGGCAGAAUGCCUCCCAAUGGACAGUAACGUGAAACAGGUGAAAGCAGUUUUUUAUUUUCUAAAUAAAUCCAAUUGAGUCACUAACA